UGGGUUCUUGGCAUGCUGAUUU
rnacentral:miRNA from 8 species